rnacentral:rRNA from 1 species
AACGAACGCUGGCGGCAGGCUUAACACAUGCAAGUCGAGCGCCCCGCAAGGGGAGCGGCAGACGGGUGAGUAACGCGUGGGAAUCUACCCAUCUCUACGGAAUAACGCAUGGAAACGUGUGCUAAUACCGUAUACGUCCUUCGGGAGAGAGAUUUAUCGGAGAUGGAUGAGCCCGCGUUGGAUUGGCUAGUUGGUGGGGUAAAGGCCUACCAAGGCGACGAUCCAUAGCUGGUCUGAGAGGAUGAUCAGCCACACUGGGACUGAGACACGGCCCAGACUCCUACGGGAGGCAGCAGUGGGGAAUAUUGGACAAUGGGCGCAAGCCUGAUCCAGCCAUGCCGCGUGAGUGUUGAAGGCCCUAGGGUUGUAAAGCUCUUUCACCGGUGAAGAUAAUGACGGUAACCGGAGAAGAAGCCCCGGCUAACUUCGUGCCAGCAGCCGCCGUAAGAC